AUGCCUCCCUCCAUCUUCGUUUAUGCUUCAUCCAUCAUCGUCACGGAUUUCAUCCUUUUCGUCUGUUCGUUGUGGAUCUCUUUCCACUUUGAUUUAGGAUCGUUCCUCUUCGUCCAUCCAUUAUGGAUUUCUCUUCUGCGAUUUCAAGGAAGACGCGGAUUGCCGUUGCUCCGUUUGUGUUUGUGUCCCGACUUGCGAAGCGAAAUACGAAGAGGAUAA